AUAUUCAGAAGAAUAAUCAAUCCAACCCGAGACCCAAACCUAUGAUUUGCAAGAAACCAAUCCAGGACACCCAAAUGAGACAAAGCCCAAACACCCUAUAUGGGUCUCAAAACCCAGAUCAAUACAAGAAAGGUGCAAACUAUUGAGGUUCUCUUCCGGGGUUAUCCAACAGAGUUUGCAUCAUACUUAAACUACUGUCCUCGUCUAUGAUUUUAUGAUACGCCAGAUUAUGCUUAUUUGAAGAGAUUAUUCUGAGACCUCCUUGUUCAUGAAGGUUUUUAUGUGUUGCUUUGUAAUAUGCACUUCAGAACACCCAGACUAUAAGAGAUUGAAGUUUACGCUUGGUCAUUUCCUACAUCUUAAUAACCGAUAAAAGUAUCCUUGUUAAUCGGGUCACACGAUUCCAGUUGGAUUGUGUUUACGAUUGGACAAUUUUGGAGUACCAACAGUAGCAGAUUGCCGCUCUUCCUUCCCGGGCUCUUUUUUUAUAUAAGUACCUUCCCGGGCUCUUGUAAGUGAUACAACAGAAAUGAAUUGCCUUUUCUUGUUCAUUGCUGCUAUCUGCAUUGGUGAGGAUGGUUUCUUUUGUUAGGGCCCCGACGCUGGAAGAAGCUUUAGACGGCCUCCUCUUGUUGCCAUGCUCAACGCCAGUCUGUCAGGUUAUUUUCCUGCUUUCGUGAUCAUGUAAAGUUAAACGUUCUUGCCCCCUAAGAAAGAGCGAUACUUUCAUAUUGUGUUCUUAUUGAAGGCGAGGAAGAAGGGAGGAGUCCGCUCUCAAGGGUAUUGAGAACUUUCUGAUUUGUUUGGUGGAAGCUUUCUCAUUCAAUGAAACUAAGAAGAGUUACAGAUUCACGAAGAACAAAAAUUUCACCGGUAAAAGGACGACAAAAUCACGUUCAAAUUGAGAAAAUAAUAUAGGUUCUCAAACAUAACACCCAGUGGCCGGCCCCAUCAGCCACAAACAUAACACCGUUAAAUAUCCAGUAAAACAGCAAGCAGUUUGCACCAAUACCUCUUAUCUAUUAGUCUAAAUCACAAAGAUACAUAAAUAUGAGUAUAAGCAAUGGUACAGACACAAACACAAGCGCAUAGCUUCAAAGACAGAACCGUCAUUGCCCUGUGUGUUCUGCAUAGGACAAAAUGCAAUGGCUUACUUGAAACUCACUCCAAUCUGUUAUCUUAAGGCCCCCUGAGCAGCCCACAAGCUUCUGCCAACAAUGCAUCCGAACUGAGGCCGCAACCA